rnacentral:rRNA from 1 species
UCCCGCCUACGGGCGCAGCAGUGGGGGAUAUUGGACAAUGGGGGAAACCCUGAUCCAGCGAUGCCGCGUGAGGGAAGAAGGUUUUCGGAUUGUAAACCUCUGUGGAGGGGGACGAUAAUGACGGUACCUGACUAAGAAGCCCCGGCUAACUACGUGCCAGCAGCCGCGGUAAUACGUAGGGGGCAAGCGUUAUCCGGAUUUACUGGGUGUAAAGGGAGCGUAGACGGCAGCGCAAGUCUGGAGUGAAAUGCCGGGGCCCAACCCCGGAACUGCUCUGGAAACUGGGAAGCUGGAGUGCAGGAGAG